UCGAUCAACAGCUUCUGUCCAAGUAGCAAUUGUUACAAAGUUUAGCAAAUUCUCAAAAUCCCCCAUAUCGAAAGGAAACAAUUAAAUGCUCUUAAAUAUGGCAACAAAAUCCAGCAUCCUGGGGAAGCCCAGCGCCAAACCCGGGUCGAUAAUUAGUGCAUUUACUUUGCGAAAACUCAAAAACCGAUUAACGCCUCGCCUGCUGGCCUCGCUGGUCUACUCGAGGCAAGAGGCACCAUCGUCAGCGUCUGGUCCAUCAGCUCUCGGUGGGAUCGAUGACCAGAUCCUGCGUCUCUACUGCGACCUCCGUACCCCCCCUGUGCCAUUCGUUCGCCACCGACUGGUCACUGACGGAACAGGAAUACCAGCCGCUUGUUUGCAUGAGUGAAAGGUUAGAUAGACAUCAAACCGAGCAUGCGCCUACGAGGAAGGGAAUCGCCUGUUCCCCUCGACGAACUCGAGAAGUGUCAAAGCGUGUGCGUUCGGGUUUUUUUUUUUCAGAGUCGCCAGGGCACCGAGGAGUCGCCCCGUUCGACUGCAAUUCCCAUCCUGCCAUGCGUUCUUCCGCGCUCUCUGCAACACAUGCACACACUGAAGCGUCUAACGUUUGACGUUUGAUAGAUAUUCGUACGAAGGCUGUACUACUGGUGUUAGUAGUAAAAGAGCGACUAUACGGUGUACUCUGUAUUUUGUACGAAGCGGUUGUAAGUGAUGCAUGCUACUAUACUGCUCACAGGAAACGCGAACCGGUGGACCACGUGGAAACUGAAACGAGAAGGCAACAAAAAAACGACUCUCCAAUUGAAUAACCGACGAGACUACCUCACUUUUUGUGUAGUUUGUGCUUAUCAUCAUCAUUCUAGCUGGUGCGAUGCGGACCAAGAAACACCGGAAGAAUCCAAUCGAGUCAGCAAGUUUAACUUGCAUCCCGAUGAAGACAUGGAAGGAAACCGGCCAGUGUGUGUGGAGUGCCACAUGGUGCUCCCCAUUUUAUGCGCUGGUCGUUUCUGCGUGGUUGUGAUCAAUCUCGUGUCUCGCACCGCGGAAUGAUAGGGAAUGGCAGCGCAAUGUUUCGCUUGCACUGGCGGGAAUGGCGCGCUUGUAUUCCGUCUCGCUUGCGAUACGCGACUUGAGUACGCACUUCGUGCCGGAUGUAUGGCGAUGUGUUGUGGUUGUGUUUGUGGAGGUUCUGUGCGUUCCACGGGGAUUCGGGCAGUCAGCAUCGUCGUCGUAUUUGUCGUGUGGUACACAUCGUUCAUCAUCGGUUUGGAGGCCACCAAUAAUACCCGCUGUAACUGGAGCCGUACCGUAUGGUGGUCGAAACAGUAAACUCCACUGCACGUCGACGCCAACCGUUAUCAGUUGUUCCGUUGACGUUUGUGCGGUAAGCCACGAUCGUGCUUCCUCCGGGUUCUGGCCAGUGUACACGUGAAAUCGUAUACCUCCGUUCGUGAUCGAUAGUGACAUCCCGUUGGGGAUGUGUGCUGUGGGAAAACGCGUUUUCUGCCACUGGCAAAGUGCACCCUGGGAAGAGAUUUUAUCAAAUCGCGAUACAAGAUGUCGUCGUAGUGAUUUCGGGAACAAUGUGUGAAAACCCGUUGCGGAUGGGUUUAACAGUGUACGAUCCAAGCCCAAGUGAUCCAUUACGGCUAUGCUUUCCGCUACUGGCCAAGAAGGACGCAACAUAUGCUAGCGGAUUCGCGAUGCACAACCAACAUCAAAGUGCAGCGGCCAGCUGCAGCAGAAUAGAUCAAAUGACGGCCAUUGUGAAGAAGCGCUUGUGUACGUGAGCCGCAUGUGUGUAUGUGUGGUUGAGCGUGUGUGUGCCUUAAGGAAAUGGGGACACUUGAUGUGUGGAAUGUUCUGUUGGUGGAUGCCUGUUAGGUGCAACACAGCUGGAAGCACUGCAUGGAGCUGCAUUUUGCGCUGCUAUAGCAAAGACGCAUGGACAAUCUGUCGGCCCUUUGGCAGUACACGGACACAUGGAAGAUGUUAUGUGGGUGGCAAUUGUACAGCAACGUUCUUUGUGUAGGUUUUGUUAAUUUUUUUCGUAAGUGAUGCGUGCCAUAGCACCGCAAAGUUUCCUCCCCGGGGCCCAUCGGAAGUAUCAACUUUUAACGUGCCAGACACGCGCACUCCUUUUACACCCGAAGAGCAAGAGGGAAGAAACACCUUCGUACCUGUGGAGGCUGCACCGGAAGGUGGCCGACGGCGCGUACCGAAGUGUUUGGCAAACGUGAAGUAGAACGACCGGCUGAAGGAUGAUGGAACACUCGGAUAGAGGCGUGGAGCAAAAAAUUAAACAUACAUCACGCCCAUAACCACUUUCAAGGUAGCAUCGCAAUGUGUGCCCAUACCAAGCGCCACUACAGGUAAGUACUGAGCCGUGGUAGAAUGCAUAACCAAGCUAAAUGCGUCAUCUAUCCUGUUGCAUUUGUUUAAAGGCGAGGCAAAAAUAUUCUGAUUUGAAAACACAUCCAAAACGUAACAUCCGGUUUUUCGACACUCCCCCCGAUCACGAACGAUGAGACGAACAUUCGAUUGACAUUAAUGAAAAUGUGAUUACCUCGAAUUGUAAUCGAAUGAGACGCGACAUGGCAACAGCACUUAAAUUUCCAUUCAAUGUGAUUUUCAUUCAAUUGAAUGUGAUUUUUUUUUCGUUGUGAUUAUCACAUUUUUUCAUAAUUCAAUAAUAAAUUCCAUCGCACCAGUCUUCCAAGUUUUAUAAAGUAAAGUUAUAAAAAUCAUUUAAAGCUAUACAAGAUUUAACUCCUCGCCUCACACAUUUCUAAUGUGCCCCGGGGAAGCAUACGUGACCCGGUACGCUUUUGCAUGAUAAAUGAGACACAUCAUCAGCAGCAGGGUACACCGUCACCGAUUACACAGCAUGCAUCGAUGCGAUGUUUGUACGUCCCGGCCGGAUGGUACGGUUAACGCAUGUCGGGAAAGAUGUUGCAUCUUUGAUAGACCGCUGUCGCGCGAAUCUUUACCCCGAAAAUCGAGUGAGCCACAUCAAGAAUGACCGUUUAGUGACAAGAUCCAAUGAUAAAUUGGUUUAGAAAUUCGCUUGGUGGAUGGAUGGAUGGCUGCUUCAUUACCAAAGCCAUCCUUCGUACAAGCAUAUAAUGAGUAGUGGAGGGCAAAGGUUCGGAUCUCAUUUUUUUUCUCCCCCAUCCAAUACUCAGACAAAAUGAUGAAUGAUGCUAAGCUUAUACGAAACGAGCGCCGAAAUCCCAACCAAGCGCAUAAUACUUUUCCGCAAAACAUAAUUCACACCGUAAGGUGGCCGGAGUAGUGGCCGCUUAAUUUGGUGCCCCACUCGGUCUCGGUACCUGACGCAGUACGAUCAUGGUUGUACCGCUAGCAAUAGUCUUCCGAUUUGAGUUCCCCAAACAGUUCUUAUCAUUAACAGACGCUCCAACAGCAAAUCGGUAGCCCUCACCCUUUGGGGCAACGGACUAAAUCCGGUCAACCCUACCGCACCGGUGGACACAAAUUGAACUUAUUUAUUUCGAAAUGCAGUAGCCAUCGCACGGGCAAAACGAUUUAAUGCUCUCCCUUGCAAAAGCUUUCCACCUCCGCCCCCAAUUCGGUUGCAUUUGCACAAUUCCAAUUCAGUGUGAAGCUAAUUGUAGUGGAAUGGAAACCCCGGAUACCGGGGUACUUCGUUCCAGUUGCUGGAUCAAGAUUUAAUAACAAACGCUUGGCGGACUGCCAAAUUGGUUCGAGCUUUCUCCCAAGUGUCAUAUCCGAACGGGGCACAGAGAACCUUUUCGGUAAGUCCAACCGCUGCAGUCUAAAGUUGGUAGGAAGUGGGUCCCCCAGACAAUCCCAGGGCCAUGGAUCUUGAGGUCCGGAGUACGGUACGUGUGCUUUUCCCAUAAGCCAAUUCGGUACUGUUUGGCGGAACCAAAAAAGGGGGAAGACUGAGAAGUUUUUAGGACACACACUGGGAAAAACCAAACCUUACCUUAAACCAUUUUUGGCCCGGUUCGUAAAUCGGGGCUCCAUUUCUUUCCGGUGCUUUUUGUUCUUCUUGCUGCUUCGUUCGGUGGUUAAUUCUUGUGCUGCUAUCCCUCUUCAAAACACCCCCAACACGACCUUCUACUUGUUUGAGGGAGGGAACUGAACUAAAGCCGAACCCCACCCCCAAAAAAAAGCUCCCAUGAGGUAGCAAGCAGUAAACGCUGGUAGCGGCUAGAACGAUAAGCGAACGAAGAAGGGACAUUUGUGAAAAGCGUUUUGGUUUCCUUUUUUUCUGCUGACCAGGAAAAAAGGGACCAUCCCUAUCGUAAACGCUGGCGCUUUUCCGACACUGGCAAAACGGCAGAAAUUAAUCGUAUUUGUGUGAAUGAAUUGUCCAUGACCAUGCAGCCGUGCACUACCGUUGUUGGAAAAUGGUGAUGUAGGAGGAAUGGGGGAGAAUGAAGGAGAUGAAGGAGCUUAUUUUUUACCCCCCAUUUCGAAAAACCCAUCGGUAAAGGUUCCGAAGGUGGUGGAAAAACGAUGGUAAAGAAAAUGUCCACUCCACACACACACACACAGAAACUAAAAAACACAUACAUACUGUCGAUUGUGCUUUCCGAACGGACAGCAAAAUCCGUCCAUUUCGGUCGUUUAGCAAUUGCUAUCCGGGAAAACGAUAAAUGAAAAUUUGAAUUCACCACAAACGAGGGAUGAGAAAAACCCAUCAUAACCUUAGAUAAACAAUAAACAAAAAUACUGUACGGUUGAUCACCAUUUUCCUCCAUCCUGGGAAAGCUUCGUUCAGAAAGCGCAACGAGACACAUGUCUCAUUUUUUUUUUGCUAUUUUUGGGAGCCUUUUGCUUGAUGGCAAACUCUUAUGCAAUCUCGCACUGUACCCGUGAGAAGAAGAUGUUUAACUAACUUUUCCGACCGUCUUUUUGAAAAUGUGUUUCCACCCGUGGAAACGCCAACAUCCGGACACGUUUUACCAUACUAGAGUGCUCGACAGAAGAAGAUCGACAUGUAAGGAAAAUGAGUGCACGACAUGAUGAUGAUGUUUUGUUUAUGCCUUCCCAUACUGUAGAUUUUCCUUCUACGCCACACGACUAUAAGCUUCUAAGAGGAGUUACUGUUUUUUUUCUCUUUUGGGGUAAGAAAUGAAGCAUCCCAAUGUCGUUUGCCGUUCGGUAUGUGGAAGUGGUCUUGGAAUGGGGUAAGUUUUCUCUCUUAUGGUGGAAUGGCUACAGAAUUACGUGAGCAGCACGAGCUUUUCUUGGGAGUAUCGAACCGAGCGAAAAUGAUGCCUAAUCUACCGUUUGUGACAAUCGAGGAUGAGGCAUGAUGGUGGUACAACGACGUUGCCGACCAUCAUAAAUCACUUCACUUUUGCCACGAAAGUUGUUUGACAAUACACUUCGAAACUGCCAGCCAUUUUUGGGUAUAUUAUUCUUCCUUUCACACUCAAUCGGUUUUCUGGGUGAAAGGAACGUACAUUUUCGCGUGGAGAAUAUGCCUCUUUGGCUUAGCGACAAAUAACAUGAGCAGACAAAAUUAAAAAUAGUCUACCUUAAUACACCGAUUGAUGUUGAUUGUAAAAAAUGUAUAUUAUCUGUAUAAAUCCAUUCAUCCUUUACAUCUCACCCAUAGCAAUCUUGCACACCGAAAGCUCGACAAAUAAUUCAUUCACCAUUUUGUAGGUGCGGGAAACCCGAAGCACACCAGUGAACAAUACCAUGACAAUUUUACCUAUCUUCCGUUUGCAGCAUGAUUUAAUAUUUCAUGCAGUGUCUGGUGGUUUGGAAAAUAGUUCAACAUACACCCCCCUAUCCUAGCCAAACCCGUCACACCUGAGCAUGUGAGUGACUUCCUGACGGAACUGGUGGCAACCGUGAUUGCUAUAGCUUCUAACCGACGGUCGGUACGUACUUCAUCGCACAACAAAAGACUAGCCACCCCUCAUCUCGGGGAAAAACUCCUGACUGAGAGACUUUUCCGACAGAUUUAACCUGAAACAUGCAUGUUACUUACCCUUCUGUGGUGCCGGUGACCUUUCGCUGGUGACCAAACGGGGGAAAAGUCUGAAUAUCCCCGAAAAAGGGGAUUACUGGGAACAAUAAAGCAUAAACCCAUCGUUUGAAGAACGAAUCACAAAAAGCACAAAACCGUGACCAAGUGUCCACAUGGUUUGAGAUUUCUGUUUUUUUUUUGUUGUCUUCAAACUGAUUUGAUUGAAAAAAAAAAUCAUAAAUAUUUUGAAAAUCAGCUUAACCAUCGUUUUUUUCAUAUCUGGACACUUCAUUCCAAUUGCGACGAAUCUUAUCAACCGCGUGUGUGUUUGUGCACCAACUUCAAUAUCCUCCAAACGGAGGACAUGGAGAUGAUAUGAAAUGGUUUUAGUCGUUCGCUGGUUCAACUUUUCGGUUUCACUUAAGUGUUCCCCAAGGUUUGACGAUUGUUCGCGGCGCCGUAUCCAACGGUUAUUCUGGUCGGGAUAAGUCCGGAUAAGGAUAAUGAUUGCGUCCCAGCUUUGUGUGUGUGUGUAUGGAGAUGAAUGAGAGAACAUUAGCUAGCGAUGAAAAGGGUAGGUCGUGUGCGGGUUGGAUGAGAUGAAACCCGUGCACAAAAUAAUUCAUUAGUAGGAAGGAAAUUAUGCUGGCAAAGUUAUUUUCUAUUGUUCCCCAAUGGUAUACCAGUCGGCAUACACGCCCAAGACGACUAGCAGAAGGUUCCCAUCCACUACGGGAAGGAUGAACACAGUGUGUUCUGUCUGUUGACGCUUAGUUAAUUUCAAGAUUUCGACAAAAACCACAGCAUUCGCUAACAUUACAGCGCUAGCGUAUUCGAAUGGCACCGGAAGUACGGUGUCUUCUCGCUUUGAUUAGAAAUAAUUUGCUUAGAAGUAGGGAAUUUGCUCACUUGUGGUGUACAAAUCUUUUAAUGGGGCGUCUAUUCCUUUCCCCACUAUUGCCGGGAUGGGAAUUUGGGUAUGAAGUUGGGAAAAUGUUCUUCAAGCAAAUGGUGCAAAGUGUGUGU